rnacentral:lncRNA from 1 species
UUUUUAACAGCAUCACAUGGUGUUUUAUUUAACUCUUUCAUUUUGGGUUAUCAUUAUAAAUCCCCAAAAAUUGUUUUUGAGGCGAAAAUGAUAGAUUAACUUCACGUUCACUGCUCAAAUCAAAGGUAAACAAGUGUGUUUAUGUUGGGCGUCGAACUGGAGCCAAUAGGACACUACCUUCUGGCGGCGGACUACAUCGAUUAUCCAAAUCCUAAAUUCGUAAGCAUAAAUGAUUCAACAAGACCCGUCACGAAUCCUCAUAGAUACUUACGUCUAAUUCUGUAGUUUGCGCAUUACAUUUUAACGAAAUAGAUUAUUUUUAUACUCCUAAAUGAAA